CAAGGCUCGCGUAACUAUUCCAAAUCCGUUUUAAAAAGCGCGUGAAUCGCCCGGCAGAGUUGUCGAUCCGGGCCAAUACUUCAGGCACUGGCCGCGCAAUCCCCCCAAUGCUCGGCCAGCUGAGGGAGCGAGGAACGUGACCUCAAACUCCUAAUGGUCUUGGCCCGGCUCAUUGCGACGCCGG
rnacentral:sRNA from 1 species